UACAGAGGGUGCAAACGUUGCUCGGAAUUACUGGGCGUAAAGCGCGUGUAGGCGGGCCUUCAAGUCGGACGUGAAAGCCCUGAGCUCAACUCAGGAACUGCAUCCGAAACUGAAGGACUGGAGUAGUGGAGAGGGAAGCAGAAUUCCUGGUGUAGAGGUGAAAUUCGUAGAUAUUCGCAAGAACACCAGUGGCGAAGGCGGCUCACUGGCCCGGUACUGACGCUGAGGUGCGAAAGCGUGGGGAGCAAUCAGG
rnacentral:rRNA from 1 species